GUCGAACGAUGAAGCCCUUCGGGGUGGAUUAGUGGCGAACGGGUGAGUAACACGUGGGCAAUCUGCCCUUCACUCUGGGACAAGCCCUGGAAACGGGGUCUAAUACCGGAUAUUACUCCUGCCUGCAUGGGCGGGGGUUGAAAGCUCCGGCGGUGAAGGAUGAGCCCGCGGCCUAUCAGCUUGUUGGUGGGGUAAUGGCCCACCAAGGCGACGACGGGUAGCCGGCCUGAGAGGGCGACCGGCCACACUGGGACUGAGACACGGCCCAGACUCCUACGGGAGGCAGCAGUGGGGAAUAUUGCACAAUGGGCGAAAGCCUGAUGCAGCGACGCCGCGUGAGGGAUGACGGCCUUCGGGUUGUAAACCUCUUUCAGCAGGGAAGAAGCGAAAGUGACGGUACCUGCAGAAGAAGCGCCGGCUAACUACGUGCCAGCAGCCGCGGUAAUACGUAGGGCGCAAGCGUUGUCCGGAAUUAUUGGGCGUAAAGAGCUCGUAGGCGGCUUGUCACGUCGGAUGUGAAAGCCCGAGGCUUAACCUCGGGUCUGCAUUCGAUACGGGCUAGCUAGAGUGUGGUAGGGGAGAUCGGAAUUCCUGGUGUAGCGGUGAAAUGCGCAGAUAUCAGGAGGAACACCGGUGGCGAAGGCGGAUCUCUGGGCCAUUACUGACGCUGAGGAGCGAAAGCGUGGGGAGCGAACAGGAUUAGAUACCCUGGUAGUCCACGCCGUAAACGUUGGGAACUAGGUGUUGGCGACAUUCCACGUCGUCGGUGCCGCAGCUAACGCAUUAAGUUCCCCGCCUGGGGAGU
rnacentral:rRNA from 1 species